CUUAACCCACUGAGCCACCCAGGCGCCCCUCAUAAUCUUAUUUUCUAUCAGAUGCAUACUAUAUAUCCUAUAUAUACCUAUGGGG